AAAUUGAAGAGUUUGAUCAUGGCUCAGAUUGAACGCUGGCGGCAGGCCUAACACAUGCAAGUCGAACGGUAACAGGAAACAGCUUGCUGUUUCGCUGACGAGUGGCGGACGGGUGAGUAAUGUCUGGGAAACUGCCUGAUGGAGGGGGAUAACUACUGGAAACGGUAGCUAAUACCGCAUAAUGUCGCAAGACCAAAGAGGGGGACCUUCGGGCCUCUUG
rnacentral:rRNA from 1 species